rnacentral:other from 1 species
AAUUACCUAGUAAGGUAGCCUGUCAUUAUAAAACCGACUAAAUAUGAUAUACGGGAAUCUAAUUGAUUUAUGGUGUAGAAGACUUAUCCAUUAAGUGCAUAAGGAUCCUAAAGUAGGUCAUGUGAUGCCCACCUGCCGAGAGCGGGUUUUUAUCAACGCAGCUACCUUCUAGGUUUUAU